GACGAACGCUGGCGGCGUGCUUAACACAUGCAAGUCGAACGGAAAGGCCCUGCUUUGUGGGGUGCUCGAGUGGCGAACGGUGAGUAACACGUGAGUAACCUGCCCUUGACUUUGGGAUAACUUCAGGAAACUGGGGCUAAUACCGGAUAGGAGCUCCUGCUGCAUGGUGGGGUUGGAAAGUUUCGGCGGUUGGGGAUGGACUCGCGGCUUAUCAGCUUGUUGGUGGGGUAGUGGCUUACCAAGGCUUUGACGGGUAGCCGGCCUGAGAGGGUGACCGGCCACAUUGGGACUGAGAUACGGCCCAGACUCCUACGGGAGGCAGCAGUGGGGAAUAUUGCACAAUGGGCGGAAGCCUGAUGCAGCAACGCCGCGUGCGGGAUGACGGCCUUCGGUUGUAACCGCUUCGCCUGUGACGAAGCGUGAGUGACGGUAAUGGGU
rnacentral:rRNA from 1 species